UAUUUUGAGUACACAAUUAUUUUUUUAUCUAAACAUUGUAUACAUGUACAUGUAGAGAUGGUGACGCCACAGUGAUUCUCCUUGACUUUUGAAAGCCAGAGCUUCUGUCGCUCCUCUUCCUGGGUCCUCAUGGUCUCCACAGAGCCAGUAUAGUAGAAGGUCUUCUCCUGUCUCAUUCAGUCCUUGGUGCCACUCUAGCAGGAGGUGGAGCUUGACAGGCAGCACAUCAGAAACAAUCCGUCAACAACAGCUUUUAAACUCUUGAUUGUUGCUGCUUUACAACAUCUGCUUGUUUCAGUAUUAGCUAUGCAGAUCUUCAUGUUCGUGGUUUUAUUCACCGGGUUUAUUGGUGAGUUCUGCUUUAGAAGCACCGUCCUAUUUCAGAUAUGGACCUCAAUAUAUGUGUAGCACUUCAUAUGAAUUAAUUCACAUUGCUUUUUCCAGGAUCUUUAACACUGUCGUAGUCACUGACCUUUCAUUCUUAACAUAUGCAGGUGACAGUUAUCAGCAAUCCAUCCACUCAAUCCAGGACAGUCCAGUCCAGGCUCUACAAGGAGACGGCGUGACUCUCUCCUGCAACUACUCUUCAGCAACAAACUUCUUCUGGUAUCGGCAGUACCCCAGCUCACCUCCCCAGUUCCUUAUCAAAGAUUACAUGGAGCUAUCUGGAUUUACCUUGAAAAAGGACAAGAAGACUGGAGUGGAUCUGAAGAUCUCCUCUGCUGCAGUGACAGACUCUGCUCUGUACUACUGUGCUCUGAGGCCCACAGUGACAGGAAACACAGACUCCCUGUCCAAACACCUGCCGAGCGUAAAACACACUUCCCUCUCCCCCUGA